rnacentral:rRNA from 1 species
GUCGAGAAUCUUUCACAAUGGGGGCAACCCUGAUGGAGCGACGCCGCGUGGAGGAUAAGGUCUUCGGAUUGUAAACUCCUGUCAUGCGUGAACAAGGUUGCUUGGUUAAUACCUGGGCAAAUUGAUGGUAACGCAAGAGGAAGAGACGGCUAACUCUGUGCCAGCAGCCGCGGUAAUACAGAGGUCUCAAGCGUUGUUCGGAAUCACUGGGCGUAAAGGGUGCGUAGGUGGCGUGGUAAGUCAGAUGUGAAAGCCCGGGGCUCAAACUAUGAACUGCAUCCGAUACUGCCAUGCUAGAGUACGGGGGAGGUGACUAGAAUUCUCGGUGUAGCAGUGAAAUGCGUAGAUAUCGAGAGGAAUACCAAAGGCGUAGGCAGGUCACUGGACAGUUACUGACACUGAGGCACGAAGGCCAGGGGAGCGAACGGGAUUAGAUACCCGUGUAGUCC